GGUCUUAUGGUCUAGCGGUUAGGACGUUGCCCUCUCACGGCAGAGACUGGGGUUCGAUUCCCCAUAAGACUACCA
rnacentral:tRNA from 1 species